rnacentral:rRNA from 1 species
AAGCUGCGGCAGCUUACACAUGCAGUCGUACGGUAGCAGGAGAAAGCUUGCUUUCUUGCUGACGAGUGGCGGACGGGUGAGUAAUGCUUGGGAAUCUGGCUUAUGGAGGGGGAUAACUACUGGAAACGGUAGCUAAUACCGCGUAACAUCUUCGGAUUAAAGGGUGGGAUCUUCGGACCACUUGCCAUAAGAUGAGCCCAAGUGGGAUUAGGUAGUUGGUGGGGUAAAGGCCUACCAAGCCGACGAUCUCUAGCUGGUCUGAGAGGAUGGCCAGCCACACUGGAACUGAGACACGGUCCAGACUCCUACGGGAGGCAGCAGUGGGGAAUAUUGCACAAUGGGGGGAACCCUGAUGCAGCCAUGCCGCGUGAAUGAAGAAGGCCUUCGGGUUGUAAAGUUCUUUCGGUGAUGAGGAAGGCAGAUAAGUUAAUAGCUUGUUUGAUUGACGUUAGUCACAGAAGAAGCACCGGCUAACUCCGUGCCAGCAGCCGCGGUAAU